rnacentral:lncRNA from 1 species
GCAGGAUAUAAAAAAUGAGGAGAGCAUGGCAUUGGAGGGACAAGGCUGGCCUAAUGUGUUUUGGGUGAGUGAGACCACCAGGCAGCUUUGGGUUACCAGGAGAUGAAAGUCUGCUACCAAAACCAAACACAAACCAGGACAAUGCUGGCAGAAAAAAUAAGAGUGAACACAAAUCCAAAUGCUCUGUAAGAGAUUUGAAGCAAUUGUGCAAAUGAUUACCAUUAGGAGCAGGAGCUAAGUAAAACCAAUUGCUUAAAAAUUACUAGUCAUAGCUGGUUUCCUCCAUUAUUUUUCCCAUUGC